AUUGAACGCUGGCGGCAGGCCUAACACAUGCAAGUCGAGCGGAGCGGCGGACGGGUGAGUAAUGCCUAGGAAUCUGCCUGGUAGUGGGGGAUAACGUCCGGAAACGGGCGCUAAUACCGCAUACUAUCAGAUGAGCCUAGGUCGGAUGAGCUAGUUGGUGGGGUAAAGGCCUACAAGGGCGACGAUCCGUCACGGGUCGGAGAGGAUGAUCGGUCACACGGGAACUGAGACACGGCCCAGACUCCUACGGGGGGCGGCGGGGGGGAAUAUUGGACAAUGGGCGAAGGCCUGAUCCAGCCAGGCCGCGGAGGUGAAGAGGGUCUCCGGUUUGUAAGGCACUUUAAGUUGGGAGACGUUACCAACAGAAUAAGCACCGGCUAACUUCGUGCCAGCAGCCGCGGUAAUUC
rnacentral:rRNA from 1 species